GUUGUAUGGUUAAGUGACUAAGCGUACACGGUGGAUGCCUUGGCAGUCAGAGGCGAUGAAAGACGUAGUAACUUGCGAUAAGCCCAGAUUAGGUAGUAACAACCAUUUGAGUCUGGGAUUUCUGAAUGGGGAAACCCACGUGCAUAAGCACGUAUCCUUACCUGAAUACAUAGGGUAAGGAGGCGAACCGGGGGAACUGAAACAUCUAAGUACCCCGAGGAAAAGAAAUCAACCGAGAUUCCGAAAGUAGCGGCGAGCGAAAUUGGACUAGCCCUUAAGCUUUACACGCGUUAGACGAACGGUCUGGAAAGUCCGACGAUACAGGGUGAUAGUCCCGUAGUUGACGACGUGUGUUCAGUGAAAUCGAGUAGGGCGGGACACGUGAUAUCCUGUCUGAAUAUGGGGGGACCAUCCUCCAAGGCUAAAUACUACUGACUGACCGAUAGUGAACCAGUACCGUGAGGGAAAGGCGAAAAGAACCCCUGUGAGGGGAGUGAAAUAGAACCUGAAACCGUGUACGUACAAGCAGUAGGAGCAGGCUUGUCCUGUGACUGCGUACCUUUUGUAUAAUGGGUCAGCGACUUAUAUUCAGUGGCAAGGUUAACCAUCUAGGGGAGCCGUAGGGAAACCGAGUCUUAACUGGGCGUUCAGUCUCUGGAUAUAGACCCGAAACCAGGUGAUCUAGCCAUGGGCAGGUUGAAGGUUGAGUAACAUCAACUGGAGGACCGAACCGACUAAUGUUGAAAAAUUAGCGGAUGACUUGUGGCUAGGGGUGAAAGGCCAAUCAAACCUGGAGAUAGCUGGUUCUCCCCGAAAGCUAUUUAGGUAGCGCCUCGGACGAAUACUACUGGGGGUAGAGCACUGUUAAGGCUAGGGGGUCAUCCCGACUUACCAACCCUUUGCAAACUCCGAAUACCAGUAAGUACUAUCCGGGAGACACACGGCGGGUGCUAACGUCCGUCGUGGAGAGGGAAACAACCCAGACCGCCAGCUAAGGUCCCAAAUUACUACUAAGUGGGAAACGAUGUGGGAAGGCUCAGACAGCCAGGAUGUUGGCUUAGAAGCAGCCAUCAUUUAAAGAAAGCGUAAUAGCUCACUGGUCGAGUCGGCCUGCGCGGAAGAUGUAACGGGGCUAAGUAGUAAACCGAAGCUGCGGCAAUAUACUUUUGUAUAUUGGGUAGGGGAGCGUUCUGUAAGCGGUUGAAGGUGUGUGGUAACGCAUGCUGGACGUAUCAGAAGUGCGAAUGCUGACAUGAGUAACGAUAAAGGGGGUGAAAAACCUCCUCGCCGGAAGACCAAGGGUUCCUGUCCAACGUUAAUCGGGGCAGGGUAAGUCGACCCCUAAGGCGAGGCUGAAAGGCGUAGUCGAUGGGAAACGGGUUAAUAUUCCCGUACUUCUUACAAUUGCGAUGGGGGGACGGAGAAGGCUAGGUGGGCCUGGCGACGGUUGUCCAGGUUCAAGUGCGUAGGCUUAAGAGUUAGGUAAAUCCGGCUCUUUUUAAGGCUGAGACACGACGUCGAGCACCUACGGGUGUGAAGUCAUUGAUGCCAUGCUUCCAGGAAAAGCCUCUAAGCUUCAGAUUGUAAGGAAUCGUACCCCAAACCGACACAGGUGGUCGGGUAGAGAAUACCAAGGCGCUUGAGAGAACUCGGGUGAAGGAACUAGGCAAAAUGGUACCGUAACUUCGGGAGAAGGUACGCUCUUGAUGGUGAAGUCCCUUGCGGAUGGAGCUGACGAGAGUCGCAGAUACCAGGUGGCUGCAACUGUUUAUUAAAAACACAGCACUGUGCAAAAUCGUAAGAUGACGUAUACGGUGUGACGCCUGCCCGGUGCCGGAAGGUUAAUUGAUGGGGUUAGACUUCGGUCGAAGCUCUUGAUCGAAGCCCCGGUAAACGGCGGCCGUAACUAUAACGGUCCUAAGGUAGCGAAAUUCCUUGUCGGGUAAGUUCCGACCUGCACGAAUGGCGUAAUGAUGGCCACGCUGUCUCCACCCGAGACUCAGUGAAAUUGAAAUCGCUGUGAAGAUGCAGUGUACCCGCGGCUAGACGGAAAGACCCCGUGAACCUUUACUACAGCUUGGCACUGAACAUUGACCCUACAUGUGUAGGAUAGGUGGGAGGCUUUGAAGCA
rnacentral:rRNA from 1 species